rnacentral:tRNA from 1 species
CGCGGGAUGGGGUAGCCUGGUAGCUCGUGGGGCUCAUAACCCGAAGGUCGUCGGUUCGUUUUCUAUUUAAAGUAAGCGGCUCCCGCAACCA